AUAUCAAUAAGCGGAGGAAAAGAAACCAACAGGGAUUGCCUUAGUAACGGGCGAGUGAAGCGGCAAUAGCUCAAAUUUGAAAUCUGGCGCUUGCGUCCGAGUUGUAAUUUGUAGAGGAUGAUUUUGGUUAGGUACCUUUCGAGUUCCUUGGAACAGGACGCCUUAGAGGGUGAGAGCCCCGUACGAUUGGAUGCCGAGCCUCUGUAAAUCUCCUUCGACGAGUCGAGUAGUUUGGGAAUGCUGCUCUAAAUGGGAGGUAAAUUUCUUCUAAAGCUAAAUACCGGCCAGAGACCGAUAGCGCACAAGUAGAGUGAUCGAAAGAUGAAAAGCACUUUGAAAAGAGGGUUAAAUAGCACGUGAAAUUGUUGAAAGGGAAGGAUUUAUGACCAGACUUUUUCUAGGAGAAUCAUCCGGUGUUCUCACCGGUGCACUUCUUUUAGUUUAGGCCAGCAUCGACUUUCGGCGGUGGAUAAAAGCUUUAGGAAUGUGGCUUCUCUCGGGAAGUGUUAUAGCCUAUUGUAUAAUACACUGCUGGGGGUCGAGGUACGCGCUUCUGCAAGGAUGCUGGCGUAAUGGUUAUCAAUCACCCGUCUUGAAACACGGACCAAGGAGUCGAACAUUUGUGCGAGUGUUUGGGUGUUAAACCCUCACGCGUAAUGAAAGUGAACGGAGGUGAGAGCCCUUACGGGUGCAUCAUCGACCGAUCCUGAUGUUUUCGGAUGGAUUUGAGUAAGAGCAUAAAUGUUCGGACCCGAAAGAUGGUGAACUAUGCGUGGAUAGGGUGAAGCCAGAGGAAACUCUGGUGGAGGCUCGCAGCGGUUCUGAC
rnacentral:rRNA from 1 species